rnacentral:rRNA from 1 species
CACCGACAGCUCUAGUGGUAGCAGUUUUUAUUGGGCCUAAAGCGUCCGUAGCCGGUUUAAUAAGUCUCUGGUGAAAUCCUGUAGCUUAACUGUGGGAAUAGCUGGAGAUACUAUUAGACUUGAGACCGGGAGAGGUUAGAGGUACUCCCAGGGUAGAGGUGAAAUUCUGUAAUCCUGGGAGGACCGCCUGUUGCGAAGGCGUCUAACUGGAACGGUUCUGACGGUGAGGGACGAAAGUUAGGGGCGCGAACCGGAUUAGAUACCCGGGUAGUCCUAACUGUAAACGAUGCGGACUUGGUGUUGGGGUGGCUUUGAGCUGCUCCAGUGCCGAAGGGAAGCUGUUAAGUCCGCCGCCUGGGAAGUACGGUCGCAAGACUGAAACUUAA